CCCACCGCGGCCAUCUCAUUGGCCAGACUCUGAGCGGGUGCCGGCUGACCCCACAUUCUCCUCUGUACUUGCGGCUGGUCGUGCAGGUAGAACUGCGACUGUUGGGGAUCUUGCAAUCUGGGCGCUAAGGGAUUCAUUGAUGUACACACCUGCAGAUGCUGUUGACUGAGACUCUGCAGCUGUUGAAGCUGAUGCUGCAUCUGUUUCUGAUGCUGCGACAUCAGAUGCUGCUGCUGAAUCUGAUUCUGCUGGUUCGCCAAACGCUGUAUAUCCGCUUGAAUCUCGCUCAGACUAUUAUUCAUACUACAACGUACAUUUUACGACUUACGUCAUGAUACUCUUCUGCAUUUAUAAUUCCAUUGUAAUUUUUAUAGGCACAAAAACAAAUACUAACUGCGUUAUGGAUUGACGAUACUGUUCGGGAUCCAUAUUCUCGAUGUCCGGAGUGCGUCUAGUUUCGAUGAAUGGCGCAUUACCGUCGUGCUCCAACCACUUAUGCUCGACAUCUCGUACAUCCUCACUAAUUUCCUAUAUUCAUUAUCAGAGAAAUGAAAUGCCUCAGAUAAAUACUACAAAUGCGUACUUGUGUGUAAUACUGCAAUGUAAGGAAAACCCUUGACUCCGUUUAGUUUUUAAAUGUAGAAUUCAUUAAUCAAAUUCAUUAUAAAAUAAUUAUAAUCAAUUUGAAUUCUUUGAUAAUUAUUUAAUUGUUUAAAAUAUGCAUGUACGCUUAUUAUUAUACGUGGCAUAUUUUGCACGAGAAUGAAAAAGUAAUCUAUAAAAUUAAAAUGAGCAAAAUAGACAACGUACAAAAUCUAUGAAUAGCGUAUCAUUCGGGCCAGCAAGUUUUUAUGUGACAGAAAAUUUCGUUAUUUGUGACGCUACACAAAUAUUUACCCGAAGUAAGCACGGAUAAAACAUGACGAUAGAUUUAAUUCGUUAAUUAUUACGUUCGUAAUAAUCGACGAUCCACAGACAGAUUCUUGAUCCAGUUACGGUCCGGAAACUUGGUGACACUAUCUACAUGCAACAUUUAUUCGUCUGUUUGAUCAAUAUCUUAAGUAACUAUGAAUAAUGUCAAGGCUUCUCGAAUUUCUCCAAGUUCUUGGCGCUUUAAUUUAAAGUACACUAAUUAUAGGUGUCGAAUUUAAAUGAUUCGCCGCAACAAUCGUAACAGCGUAAUUAAAAGCGGGCAUUUAAAUUUUGUAUAUAUAUUUUAUAUAUAUAUUUGUACAGCUAAUUAAAAAGUUGUUAGAGACAUAUGUACAUGUAAGAACGUAAAAUUUGUUCUGUUAGUGAAGGAGAGAAAUCAUAAUUAAGUAUCAAAUUAUAUCUUAAUAGCCGUCACCCGAUACAGAUGUGAAUGCAAUUAAAUAUAGCGUUAUUAUUUUCCAGGGAGUGUUUAGUAUUGCACCAUGCGUGCUAGGAGCAUUGUAUUAAACAAAUGCUCAGGUGGGUCUGCCACGUCAUUAUAAAAUACAAUUGUCGUAAUCAUUUUGAGGCAAGGUUUCGUUUUCCUCUACUAAUGUAAAAGAAGCGUCAAGAAGCAAAAUAAUGAUCUGUUAUCGGGAAUAAUUUCUACUAAGGGGAUAUAAGCUGUACAUUUUGUAGCAUUCGUCACGUUCGUUUAGUUCCAUAAUUGCUAAACAUCAACAGGAAGGAUAAUCAUUUCCUUAUAAUGUCGUUUCGCUACAUUCGCACAGUAGGGACGUAGGAAUAAGAUCGAUAUUCGAAAGCCAUUCACAUAAGCGCGCGUAUAUUAUUUUUUAAAUAAAAUAUUAAAGAUAAAUUAUAUCGUAGGAAUUUCUCGCCUACACUGAAACACUUGCUGGUGAUAUCGUACCUUGAGCGAGAAGGGUCUCUGUGGUUUUUCUUGAAGGGGUUGUUGGGUUACAGGGGACGCCUCGGAAACGCUCGUCGGGGUCGCCCCGGAAGAUCCGGAGGUUACAGGAGUGGGGGGACCGCCUGUCUCGGCCGGACUGUCCCCCCCGGACGUUGACGAAGAAGGAGAUUUAACCUUACCCUGCAACCAGCCCAACCAGCGUGCCUUGUUAAGUACUCAGAGUCCGCCACCAAAUCACCAUCAAACACCACGAUGCCGAGUGUUCUCGCCGGCGGCGAAAGAUCAUGUUACAUUCAAGCUUAUAAGUGCCAAAGCCCAUCCAGAGUGGCUUGCAAAUCAUACUUAAUUAAACAACAAUUGACUUAAACUACGAGCAGUAUUCACGCUAUCUCAUCGAGAAAAAAAACUGUGUAUAUACGCUUAGAUAUAUAUAAUUAAAAUUACAAGUAUAUAUAUCUCGCUCUUCUAGAUAUCAGUAUAUACAAUUUUACAAAUUAUAUAUUGCUAUAAUAUUAAUAAUAUAAAAGGGUCAUGAUAUGAUAGUUACACGCGAUUAGUACUUUGGCUAACAUAUUACAUUUAAAAUAUUUUAAUUUGAAACUUUCUUCUAUGUACAACAUGUUUCAUAUUUACAAACUCACUACUCUCUUUCGAUGGAAAUAUGUUCGUAAAACAACAUGCAGUGCUAUAAACAAAAUAAAACUAGCUUCCCCAAAUACUGUUUAAAACUCAAUGCAUUCACAGCUAUCAAUACUUUGGAACUAAACCGAAUAUUGGGGGAGAAAUGGAAGAUAAACUCGCAUAAAAAUAUCACAGUUUAAUUACUGCAAUAUUAAAUAAAAAAGAAUUUAUUCAUGCAUACAACUGAAAUAACUGAAUGAUAUUAAUUACUCGAGUUCCAAGAUACUGAUAUCGCUUUCAACAAAGAAUAAUAUGUGCUAAAUAAAGAUUGCAUUUAACAAACUGACAAUUCCUGCUUAAACAGAAAUGUGGUUUCAAAUAGAAAAAUUCAAUCCUGUUAUAAUGCAAAAAUUUAGUGCGUCAACAUGCGCUUACCAUCGAGUAUAGCUGAAAUGUCAGAAAGAGAAUAGUGUUAAGACAACAUGACAACCGAGAUUAUUCAAGGCGCAGAGAAAGAAGAGAUAAAGUCCUACUAUGUACAAGCGAUGAUCUAUACGAAUGUAGAUAAAAGAUAAAUACAUGAGUUUACGAAAUGAGCAAACAAAAUUAGAUUAUUGCCUGAAAUUGAGCAAUCAUAUUUUACACGUACUUUGCGAAUAAUACUAUAAAUAAUAAUAUUUUACAUCCACGCACUUUGCGCAUAAUACCACAGAACUUCGAAUAAUACUUGAUAUGUAUAUAUAUAUGUACAAGCAAUAUCAAACAAUCGGGAUAUAAUCACAACGGAAAAAUAUGUCAUGAAAAACAUAAAUAAAAGGCGGAAGAAAAAGAAACUUUUUGAGAUAUAAUACAGUCUUUACACUCUAUUUACUCUCUGUACUAAACACACCCGUGCUUAGAUCAUAAAAAGUAGCUGUCACACAGCAUGGCAGAUCUUAAUGUAUCUCGAUAAAACAUUCCCCGUAGAAUUUCCUACCGAAUUAUAUUAUCCGUAUUAAUAUGUAUCUUUUUCUUUUAUCAAAGAAAUAAACCACUAAAGUUGUAACUGCAAUGAUGUAAAACUGAUACGCAGAUGAUAAUGAUGUUUAAGUGUCAUUGUGUAUUAUGCAAUUUUCCUAAAUAUUGUUAAAUGUAUAAUCUCCCAUGUGUUUUUUUUUCUUUUUUUUACCUUCGUAACCGCUUGCAGGAAGGCAGCCUUUCCCACUUUCUGCCGCUGUUUCGACAUAACAACUUCCAUCCUUCGCUUCUCGUUCUCUAUGUGCCGUCGCUUCUCUUCAAGUUUCAGUCGUAUAUUAUUCAGCUGAGAGGCCAUUACGGUAUUACCACCGUUCUCAUCUAAUAUCACAGAAUAUUUUCAGUAAUUCCAAAAUUAUUGGAUACAAAUAGAAC